UAAUCCUCAGCUAGCUGAAACUGGG
rnacentral:misc_RNA from 1 species